UACGAAGGGGGCUAGCGUUGCUCGGAAUCACUGGGCGUAAAGGGUGCGUAGGCGGGUUCUUAAGUCAGAGGUGAAAUCCUGGAGCUCAACUCCAGAACUGCCUUUGAUACUGAGAGUCUUGAGUUCGGGAGAGGUGAGUGGAACUGCGAGUGUAGAGGUGAAAUUCGUAGAUAUUCGCAAGAACACCAGUGGCGAAGGCGGCUCACUGGCCCGAUACUGACGCUGAUGCACGAAAGCGUGGGGAGCAAACAGG
rnacentral:rRNA from 1 species